CUAUUUGGUUUUUUUUUGUUGAAAGAGCCAUACUAGUAGUUUCUGUCUGGACUAGCUUUCAGGGUAGGCAAAGUAAGCAUCCAGCUACCCUCACCGGAACUUAAAGGCAGUGAAAAAACAAAUUCACAAAUGUGAAAAAUGUAUUGCCAGCAAAUAAGAACUGCAUUUUGUUACCAUUAGCAAAUUGGCAGUUACUAUGGAAUUUGGAGCCAGAGAGCAGUAGAGGAUAGGCAGCACUUCCUCUCUGCAUGAGCCAUUUUUUACUUAGUUGGUUAGAAGUUCCUAGCAGAAAUGUAACUGGGCAGGGCUGUAGCCAAGCUGAUGGUGGCAGUGCAAUGUCUGGAAAAGCGGCAGUAGUGGUUGCUAUUUUUGAACACCAACCCCUAAGUCAUGGGCUGCGGCUGGUUUCCUGGUAGCCUCUUUCCUCCCUUAGUUAUACUACUGGUUCCUAUUUACCUUGUGUUUGUGUACAGAUUUGAUCAGGUAGUGGUCUUCAGUAAAAGUCAUGACCAAAACUAAAAGUGAUGCCAACAAUCUUACAAAAAUGGAAGUGCCCACAAAAGAGACCUUGAAGGAGAAGCCAACAGUGCAAAACAGUCAAGUACUUUUAAGGUAUUUGAAAUCACACAUUUGAUAUCUAGCUGGUGCAUUUCAUCAUGAAUGUUCAUUGCUGGUAUUCCUACUUCUGAAAAUAAACUUCUUACUAAAGAAGAGUUGUUUUUAAUCACUCAGACAGGUGAGAGAGGAGAAGAUGUUGCUAGCAUGGCCACCCCAUAUGUGGAUAUACCUUUGGGCAAUAAUAACCUGAUGGAACUGAGAGGUGUUCAAACAACCUGGAGGAAACUGAGUUCUGAGACUUUAAAGGGUCCUGUCAAAUGGUCAGUAAUCAAUGGCAGAGUUUAGCAUUUUUUUUUUUUUUUUUUUUUUGAAAACUGGGCUAAUGCAAAUACAUGGUAAGAAUUUUUCUUUGGAAAACUUAUUUUUACCAUUCAUUUUUCUUCAUGUUUCAUGCCAGCUUUCCCAUGGAGACUGCAUAAUAUGAAGUUUGCCUUCUCUACUGUUUCACCCAGAAUUGUUCGUUCCUCCUAAGUUGUUUCAGUCCAGAGGCUUUGUUUUAGCCCUGACUGGCAUUUAAGAUGGGAUGAAAAACAUGUAAGAAAAAGAUGAGAAACUGGCAGAUCAUAUGAACAUCCAUCAUAUGUGGAGAGACUUAGAAAUUAGACUGAGGCAAAAUCAAAUGACUGAUAAAGAAAACCAGCAGCAAAUUAAUUCCUUUCAACAUUGAUCAGCUAUUUUGGAAGGACUGCUUUCUUUCAUCAGGCUGCAGGGAAUAGAAAACAUUUUCCAGCAAGGUUCAAAGGACAAGUGUAUUCAUCCCACAGUAGGAAACUUUGGAAUUUGUGGACUUUCUUGGAAAACAUGACUUUGUGAUGAAAGGACAUAAUUGUCUUAAAGAAAACUUAUGAUCAUUACCUGGGUAAAAAUAUUCAAACUAAAUUAUGCAAGUUAUUGGAAAUAUGAUAAAAAAAAUAUUAUUUCUGCCUUGAAAACUGCCAAAUAGCUGACUUUAUUGUUAAAAUUAGUUUUAAAAAAAGAGUGGAUGAAAAUGACUAUUUCUGCAGAAGAAGAAACUAGAGCUAGAGAAGGCUGUGUUUUGAAUAAAGAACAUUUUAUUGGAUUUUUGAAUGUGACACAUUGCAUUGGCAUUGGAAUGAAAGAACCUUUCCUUGAACAGUUAAAAGAAAAGGGAAUCUCACUUAGUGAUUUUGAAAGGUCAAGACUCUGACAAUGGGACAGAUAUGAAAAGCAAAUAUGGUGAAGUUCAGAAGAGAAUUCAGGACCUUAAUAAGUGAGCAUUUUUUGUCCCACAUAGCAUACAUUCUGUGAAUACUCAGUGAGGCUAAGAGUUGUUACAGUGAAGCUCUGAUAUUUUCUGAGGUGGUUCAAAGGGCUUUUGUUUUUGGGUUUUUUUUUUGUUUGUUUUUUUUUUUUUUGCAAUAUCACUGCAGUGCUGGAAUAUACAGCCUGCUUCCAAUGUGAAAUAAAAUGGGAAAGCUGAAGUGAUGUGAUCCAUUGAAGUGAUAUCAGUGCCAAGUUUCAGAAGUCUGUGCUGCUUUAGUUUCAGUUGCUGGUUCAAACCUAAAAGAACCAAAACUUUCCUAGCUAUGCUAUAUCGCUGGCUCACAAUGUCUAUGACUAUAUAUUCUUCUUCAGUGUGGAGCUGUGACAUGCUAUAGACCAGGGGUGUCCAACCUUUAUGAAUGUGGGGCCGGAUCAUGAACUUUUUAUCAUCCAGUGGGCUGGUAAGCCAUAUUCAUAUUUUAUCACCCCGGUGGGCUGUAUGUUGGACAAGCCUGAAAUAAGGCAAAGCUGGCAUAAACCCCCACCUGUGCUCAGCUAGUGACAAACUACAGCAAAUGACGUCCUGGACCAGCCAUCCCAACAGCUGGGGCCCCCCUUCUGCCUACUAUGACCACCACUUGAAGGCAGCCCCAGAAGAUAUUUGACAGCCAUGUUAAAAUAUGUGACCAAACUGAUGUAGCCAGUGCUCUCAUGCAGGCCAAGGGGCCGCCUAUGCCACUGCUUCCCCAGGCCUUGCCCAUACCAGCAACACUGCUGCCUAAAAUCUUGGCAGUGCUUGGGCAGGCACGGCUGGGGCCCAGCCAACACGUGAGAUGGGGGAUAGCCGAACUGUGGGAGUGAAGUCAGUUCCCAGCCUGGCAGGGUCUCGGGCCUGGUCUGCCCAGGGCAGCUCCUGGUGGGAGAAGGCCUCGGGGGAACACGGGCUGCUCUGCUCCUCUGUGCUUCCCUGUGGCGAAGGCAAAUGGCCCCCAGGAGGAUGCAGGCAGCCGCCGUGGCAGGAGAGCAGCACCUGGCCCAGCCGCAGGGGGCGACAAUCCCCCCUCCCCCUGGGCUGCCCCUGAGCAGUGCAGCCCCAUGAGCUGGCGCUGCCCGUAGGAGGCCGGAGCAAGGUGGUCACUGCACCACAGCCCCUCGCUCGCCCACCCACAUGGCCCUGCUCACCAUGGUGCCUGGCUGCCUGCGCAUGCAGCCCUGGUGGCCUCAGCACUGUGAGCCCGGAGCGCGGGGCCCAGCGGACACCGGCUCCCACCACUUUGUCCUGCAGAGGUCACGCCAGGACCCUGCCUGCAGAGGCCCCCCCGGGGCUGCCCUACCAAUUGCCUGUGCUGGGCACUGCGCCCCGUUCCCACCCCAUGGCCGCUGAGCCCGGUGGGUCCUGGGAGGUGGGCAGGAUGCCGGGGGCAAGGGGCCGAGCCGGAGACAACUAAAAGCGGAUGCUGUCCUCAGCUCAUCUUGUCAGGUACAGCUGGGUCAGCCCCACGCUGCACAGCCCUCGGGGUGGCGGUGGGACCCAGCUCACAUGACAUGGGAGGUCACGCGAGCCCAGCCCCGUGGGGGUAAGCAGCUCCCUCCGCUUCUCCACCUGCCUGUCCCGAGCGAGGGACCUCAGGCCACAGAAAAUGGCUUGGCAGGCCGUAUGUUGGACAAGCCUGCUAUAGACUCUGUGCAGUCAACAUCAGAACUAAAAUGCUUGAAGUGGAUAUUGAACAAACCAUGCAUCAGCUAAAAGCCUCAACAGAGUUCCUUGUAAACUACCCUUCUGAUAAGAGAUUCACAAGGGGCUGAUAAGGGACUGAUGCUACAGAACAGACUGAUAAGCUGGAUAUCACACAUGGCUUCCCACAAGGGUGUUAAAAUACAAACCAAAAAGAGAGCGUUUGAUUUUUGAAGCCAGAACCAUUAUGCACCAUUAACAAAUCCAGAAGAUAACCAUAACACGCAUUUUUUGUAUUACAUUUUAGAUGCUGCUGGAUAGACUUGAAGAAGAGAGAUUUUUCCAUGUUGAGAAACACCCUAAGUUUAUCUGGUUUUUGUCUGAUACCUUCAAAAAAUUGAAGAUGACCUACAAAAAGUUAUAGUUAAAUGUUUAGCUUAAUGUUGCAUUAGAAGAUGGACAGCUUGGUGAAGAAACUUAAAAUGCUCUGAUUCUUGCCGAGAUUCUGAGCUUCACUGUAAAGUGGCUGAAAUGUGGAACAUCCCAAAAGUCACAUUGGGAGUUUCUGUGCAAAAGUAACUUUUCCUCUGGUUUCCAAAUAUUUCUGUUGUUCCAAAUGUAUCUAUUCUAAUUGACUUUGCUUUCAUCUGUUGCAAGCCAGAAAUUUGUUUUUUGGAAAUUUAAGCCUACAAAGUCUUAUUUAUAUUUUAGCAUGGCUCAGUCUCAGUUGGCUAGAUCCUGUUUUCAUUUCAGUUGAAAGCUAAAUUUCAGUGUGUAUUGAUAUGAAAGGUACCAUCCACAAGUUCAUGUGCAUUUAAGCAAAAAAGUAAAAGUCCAAUGUUUUUGUGAUAAAAAGGCUUGAAAGGCUUGGUCAUCAGUAUGAUUUUGAAGUUCUUCACUUUGCUUCAUGCAUGCUUUAUUUGCAUUACUUGCUAUGAAUUUAACUUAUUUAUAUGGUCUUAGAAAGCUAGGAAGUUAAUGGAGUGAGUGACAAAGAGUACUUUUGCCUACCCUGGAAAAUAGGCUAAAGCUGGCACAGGUCACUGCAAAAGAAGAGACCCAUUAGAACUAUUGCAUUAUAUUGCAAUAGUAUUGCAACAAUUGUAUGGCAUUGUAAGGGUAUGUACAAGCAUUGCAUUUUGGUCCUCUAACUGAGCGUAGGGGAAUCUAAGCGGCUGAGUGUGUAAGUGACAUGCCUGAUCUAAAGUUAGUUUACCUCAGAGGUGAACUAAUUUUGAUAUCAACCUGGGUUACCCCAGUCUAAAAUGGGUUAAUCCAGACUAAUGAAUGCCUGUUUGUGGUCAAAGCACAGCCCCAAGGCUGGGAAAGCCCAGCCACUCACUACAGUGCUUGAGUUGUGCUGUUUUAACCUCCCCCUGUCUCCUUUAACUACCCUCGCUGAACUGCCAGUCCACCGCCACUCCCACCCUUCAGACCCUUUUGCCCCCCCUGCCCCUCCACCUGCUCUCCAACUGCUUUCAUGAAUGCCCAUACACAGCAGAACCUGACUUAGGUUUAGGCAGCUCAAAGUAAGCUGCCCAAUGUGAGUCAGGUCAUUUUAUAGAUUUGUAGAUUCAUAGAUUUUGAGGCUGGAAGGGACCUCAGAAGAUCAUUGGGUCCAGCCCCCUGCACCAUUUUAAUGCUUUUGAAUGCUUAUUCAACCUUUUGAAUGCUUGUUCAUGCCCUAAGGCUGGGGACAGACAUUAUACAUAAAUCGGCUUAAGUGAUCAGAAACUGGUUUAAGCCUGUAACAGAACAGAUGUUCAGUGCACAUAAACUAGUUUGAAAAUGGCUGAAACUGGUUUGAGCUAAACCUGGUUGAAUGUAGUAUCAGACUUAACUGAUUUGGGUCAAACCAGUUUAUGCAAUGUCUGUGACAGACUCCUUCCUGGUUUAAGUUUAAUCAGAGUCCCUCAGCAUCCCGGCACGCUUUGCUGGGCAGGGCUCUGCUCUCUGCUGCAGCCCAGCAGGGCUGGCCCCUCCCCCCUACUUCCUGGCUGCAUCUCUGGCAGAGACUGCAGACACAGCAGGGUCUGCCUAGCUCACCCGCUCCCCACCCUCCCCACUCCCUGUUCAAGCAGGGAUCCCCCCUCCCCUCUGCCUUACACAGACACCUCUCAGCAUUAGCUAGCAUACCACAUGCUGGCUACGGUCUGUGCUGUGGAAGAGGGACAGGACAGUCCUGGUUUAGGGCUUUUUAGUGCUAAUUAACAGAUAGCUAGUAAUGUCCCUCUGUUCCUUUCUUGGAAAACCUGUUUAAGAACAGUGUGAAUUUAUGGUGAGAGGCUGCUGUUUUCUUAAUGGGCUGAUAAACACUGUGUUAGGGGUGAUAAAUGCUGUAUUAUCAACUCCCUCUUGUGCUUGUCAGGGGCAGGGAGGGCGGGAACCCCCCUCCCUAAUGAGAGCAUCCUGCUGGGGCCUGGCCAAACCCCUCAGCUCAGCAUUGUAGAAGGGAAGGGAGGGCUGCUCUAGUGUCCCCCAGCUUCUAGCUUGAGCCACUGCAGGCAUGUACCUGCAUUUCUUCAGAGGGGAUGUCUGUACAGUUACAAACCAGUUCAGUGUAGCCAGGUUAGACUAACCUGCAAAGAUUGAAUCAAUUCAGGUUCAGGUUUUUUGAAUGUCUAUCCCUAGCCUAACUGUGAGGGAAUUUUUAAACAACUUCUAAGAACAAUGACAAUUUAUCUUCCUCUCAGCUGUUUUUUCUUUGAAAUGCUCUGAAAUCCGAAAAGGGCCUAGAUCAAGGUAAAGGGUCACUUAAACCAGGAGGACAAAAAGUGUUAAAUUACAGUUUGUACGCGAGUGAUAGCACUUCUUUAGUCACAUGUAAAGUGUGUGUGUUUAUGAUUUAAUGUCUCUUUACACUACAUCUUCAAAGUGGGCAAAUGUUGAUUAAUCCUUACAGCAUCCAUGUGAGGGAUGUAAUAAUAAGUGAUAGUUUUAUUUUCAAGCUGGGGAAACUGAGGCAGAGAAAUAAAAUGAUCUGUUCGUUGAUCUGUCCUACCAUUACGUAGUAGAGCCAUAACUGGAGCUCAGAGCUGGCUGCUGACAGACAUGAAACUCCUCCCUCCCUCCCUCCCCCUCCGCCUCCCCUUCCCCCCAGCACUUUACUGGAAGCAGCAGUGCAUUAGUUUGACCCAGCUCCACAAUGUCUGUAUAGUUCAGGCACUUCAGUGGGGAUUUUUGGCACUUUUAUCUAAAACUGAUUCAGUCAGCUAUCAGAUAAGUGCUGAAAGAGCCCCACUAAAGCACCCAAUUUAUACAGAUGUUGGACUAACAUCAUGCUUUUUUGGGCAUGCACUGGACUUGGCAUGGCAGUGUGCUGAGUUUAAAGUCCCACUUUUUUUUUUUCCAUGUCUGCAAGCAUAUGUUUUUAAGAUGAGCUAACUUCUACAGAUGCAAUUAAAGAUCUCAAGUACAGCAUUACACCUAGUGUUGGUGCAGUGAGAUACAAACCAGUUGUGGGUGCUAUGCACACUUUUUUUUUUUUUCAGUGACAUCAUCUGGGAUUAGCAACCAGAGCUACCAGCUAUCUAGGUUAAUUUGCAGAAAUAGUAGUUUUGGGAGAAAUAGCUGUAAGUGUUGUAGAAAAAAAGCAAGUGCAGUAUCAUUGGCGAUUCGUAGGGGGUGCAUGCGGGGGCACAUGCACCCCCUGAGAUUGGUAGCGCAUCCCCUGCGAAAAGCACUGCUGAUGCUGCUGGCGGCGCCUGUGAGCAGUCGCUACUUGCCAUACCCCCCCCCCCCACCGUUGACACCACUGACGGCAUCUGUGGGUCCCUGAUUGGUGCCGGCAGUGUCUGCGGGUGGUUACCAACUGCUGGUUGGGACUCGCCACCCUCUGUCCCCACUGUGGCUACCUGUAGGCAGUCGCCAUGCUCCCCCAGCCUCCAGGAACAUGCAGUGUUCAUGUGCAGUAUGAUUUCUGCUUCUCUACAGAAGUGUGCAUAUGCCUGUGUGUAUGUUUGGAAUAGAGAAAUCAAGACAGGUGAUGUGAAAAUGUAUGUCUUGCCUUCAGACAGAAGAUAGUUGGUUUCGCUACGCUGGCUUCUAAUGGCAGUCUCUUCACAGGAUACUUCAAAAGUGAUGGAUUGAGGCAUACGUAUAACGACCUGUUCAAGUCAGAAAUUGAGAUGGUCUCAGAGAUAGGUGCCGAGCAAAUCUAUAGAGUGAGACACAUAAAUGUGUUCAAGAGUGUUGCCAGCUGCUCUGUGUGUGUGUGUGUGUGUGUGUGUGUUCGUGUUCAAGACUGCGCAUUUUCUCAGGAUUAAUAGUUUGAGGUAUUUCCUUAAUUUAUUACUGUCAGGAAUAAUGUUCACUCUGUUUCCAUUUUAGCAGGGCACCCAUACAACCUUUAAAAUGCACAAAUAAAAUGAAGUCUGCAUACGGUCUGUGGUUCAUGCAGCAGCUGUUCUCAUGACAACAUAUUUUAUCUACGUACAUUUAAUCAGCUGCUCCUAAGAAACCGUCCCAAUCCAUCAAAAUAUUUGUAAAUUGAUUUGGUUUCCAGCACAGGAAUUUGCUUUUGCUAGCACAAUUAAGAGACAGGGAAGACUUAUGUCCAGUGGGGGGAGGGGAAAAACAAAAACAAGACCCCCAACGUAUUUUCUAUUCCAGGUUGAAUAGCUCAAAGUCCUUGGGCAUUUGCCAUGAUGAUUGUGUGAAGCUGGUGUUUUUGCUUAGCAGCCGCCUCGUUUCUGAAAAGAGAUGUUUCAUUUCAGCAGGCAGAUUUCUCCACUGACAUUCAAACCAGCAAGCAGACUGGGGAGGCCAGAUGUUCUAGUGGAUAGGAAACUAGUCCAGGGCCCUGUGAGACCUGAACUCUAUUCUUGUCUCUGCUACUGAGUUGGGAUAGAGCUGUGCUGUGUGCAAAUCUUAUUGCCUUUCUUCCCUCCUGUAAAAUGGGGUUAAUAUUAAAAGAGAGAUAAGUAACCACGUUUGUCUGAAGUUAGGCAGAAGACAGGGCAGGGUGGCACCUUAUUGACUAUCUCAUUCAGAGCGGCACAAGCAAUUAUAAGCUACAGCCUGCUUUUUCAGAUGAUAUGGUAUUCACCUCUGUUGUAAAACAAUUUUCGGCUGGCGGAUGCAAAAGGCCUUUUAUUAUUGACAUAACGUUGAAUGGUCCUCCAGGUCAAUUCUUUGUUAAAGUGUCAAUGUCUAGAAUUCUCUUGCUUUGACAAAAGCCUUUUGCAACUGUCCAAGCAUGUAUAGGGGAGAGGUCUUCCCUCCUAUACUCAGAGUACUCAGUACUCUGCUUAAACCAUGCGUGAAGUCUCAUAAGGCCACCAGUGCCUCAUUACAUACUCUAAGGAUUGGGGAGCAGCACUCCAAGCUGAAGUGAUCACUGUGUAGAGGAAGCGUAUACUGCAUUCUUUGAAAGGUGACCUGGGGCCUCUGUUCUUGGUCUUCCUGGAGCCCACUAUACUUGUUUCAAGCACUGUACCUCCAGAAUCUUCCCCUCUUUUCUCACCAUGCCUGUCCCUCAACCAUGCCUGAGAGGCACAGUGCAGUCCUUAGUAUUUUAAUCUUUUAGGAUUAAAGGUAAUAAAUAAUUAAAAUCAAUUAAAAUAAGUUCAUUUUAAACCUAAUAAUUUAAUAAUGAUCUAGUAAGAUAAUAUAAUUAAGGAAUAUUAUUAUUGUCUCACAACCUCCAGUUGGGCUUGGACGCCAAAGAAGGCACACGUGUGUGUCAGCACACGUGAGCCCUCACCCCCCCUUCCCCUCCCCUCCCCUCCCCUCCCCAUCCUGACCACACCGAGUGGAGCAGCGAGCAAGGAGCCGACAGCUGAAUCAAAGUAAGCCAGGCAGGGCAGGGGGGAAGAGGGAGGAGCCGGGCCAGCUGUAGGGAAUCGGAAAGGGAUUUUUCUCCCCUCCUGUCCCUAUUUAGCCACACUGGGUGGGAGCCGCACUCCUUUGUCAUGCAAACAGGCCCCGCAAGCAGGCGCGCUCUUCAGGGGCAUGCUGGAGUUUCUGCAGGAGUUUGUGUAGGGGGGAGAGCAGGAGGGGCCUGAGACUCUAUGUGUUAGAGUCAGUGGCUUCAGACAGAGUCUCCAGAGUCUUCAGUUGAGUGCACGUGAGGGAGUCUUAAUGGGGGUGGUGACUCGGAGUGCAGCCAGGGACCCUGCUUCAAUACUGCCUCCCUCCAGGUGCUCCUCUGAGGCCUCCACCCAGACAGAGCCUUUGGGUGGGUCAGUGGCACCCGGGCCCCCUGCCUGCAGGAGUUGCCUGGCAGGUUCUCGGAGGCCCGGGGCAGCGGGAUGGCUGGGAGUCCCCUCACCUGUCUGUGUGCCCAGGUUGAGGCCCUGGAGGGGCAGGUGAGGGAACUCUAGGCAGAGGUUAGCAGGCUGCAUGGGAUCAGAGCUAUUGAGGAUGAGAUUGAUGGGUACUUCUACUCUUUGCAGGAUUGCUCAUAUGGCAGGAUGGCAACACAAGGAGGACUUGACACGGCAAGAUGGAAGACGGUCACCUCUAGUUCUAGAUGAUGCAGAAUUAGACCCCGCAUUGCUGGAACAACUCCUCCAGUGCAGCUGGGGAACUGAUUUGGGGCCCUGGCAUCACUGGGAGUGAGUGCAGCAAUGGAGGCCAUACCCACAACUACCACCAAGCAGGCUGGGAGGCAACAGAGCAACUGGAGGAGAAGACAUCGGGCCACGGUCCAAAGAGGCAAGAAUGCACUGAUGAGGUGAACCGGUAUCUCCGACAGUGGUACCAUCAAGAAGGCUUUGGCUUCUAUGACCACGGUGCCCACUUCAAGGACAGAGGACUCCUGGGGAGAGAUGGCAUCCACCUCACGUGGAAAGGGGGGAAACAUGUAUGAGUGGGAGAAUAAACUGCUUGGCAAGUUCCAUGAUACUGGAGAUUGUAUUCAAGGAUGUCAAAAAAGAUGAUGGUGGCCCAGACAAGUAAGCUCUGUGACAGUCUACAAAAAGAGGUUCUUCACCCUUACAAUUCAGAGUCUUGCAGCAGCAGCAUGGAAAGGAACUUUAAUGAUGUUUUCCAACUGCUGAACAACAGAAUACAAACAGUUAAGUUGUAUACUGCUUCUUUAUACAAAAAGAACCUUUCAUUUCACUGCUGUUUAAACUAUGAAUGAAAAAUGUCAACUAAAAAUGAAAAUGGUAGGUGAUUUCCAACUGCUUCAUAGAGAGUGGUUGAAUACUCAAACCUGAGGUCUCCAGAUAUUAUUGCAGUUUAGGAUGAAUGGAAAUAGUAUAUACUGGCUAGAUAUGAAAAUCACUGGAAGUUAUUUUCCAAGUUCUUUUAUUAAUGAAUUUUUAAUUAAAAGUUAUAGGAUCAAAUACUGUUUACUUGAUUGA